UCUGAGAUACGUUUGUCAGUUUGCUCCUUUUUGCCCGUGGACGCCGCCGAAGAAGCAUCGUUAAAGUCUCUCUUCUCCCUGCGAUCAUGUCUAAGUCAGAGUCUCCUAAAGAGCCGGAACAGCUGAGGAAGCUCUUCAUUGGAGGGUUGAGCUUUGAAACAACCGAUGAGAGCCUGAGGAGCCAUUUUGAGCAAUGAGGAACGCUCACAGACUGUGUGGUAAUGAGAGAUCCAAACACCAAGCGCUCCAGGGGCUUUGGGUUCGUCACGUAUGCAACUGUGGAGGAAGUGGCUGCAGCCAUGAACGCAAGGCCACACAAAGUGGAUGGAAGAGUUGUGGAACCAAAGAGAGCUGUCUCAAAAGAAGAUUCUCAAAGACCAGGUGCCCACUUAACUGAAAAAAAUAUUCGUUGGCGGCAUUAAAGAAGACACUGAAGAACAUCACCUAAGAGAUUAUUUUGAACAGUAUGGAAAAAUUGAAGUGAUUGAAAUCAUGACUGACAGAGGCAGUGGCAAGAAAAGGGGCUUUGCUUUUGUAACCUUUGAUGACCAUGACUCCGUGGAUAAGAUUGUCAUUCAGAAAUACCAUACUGUGAAUGGCCACAACUGUGAAGUUAGGAAAGCCCCAUCAAAGCAAGAGAUGGCUAGUGCUUCAUCCAGCCAAAGACGUCGAAGUGGUUCUGGAAACUUUGGUGGUGGUCGUGGAGGUGGUUUCGGUGGGAAUGACAACUUUGGUCGCGGAGGAAACUUCAGUGGUCGUGGUGGCUUUGGUGGCAGCCGUGGUGGUGGUGGAUAUGGUGGCAGUGGGGAUGGCUAUAAUGGAUUUGGUAAUGAUGGUGGUUAUGGAGGAGGCGGCCCUGGUUAGUCUGGAGGAAGCAGAGGCUAUGGAAGUGGUGGACAGGGUUAUGGAAACCAGGGCAGUGGCUAUGGCGGGAGUGGCAGCUAUGACAGCUAUAACAACGGAGGCGGAGGCGGCUUUGGCGGUGGUAGUGGAGGCAAUUUUGGAGGUGGUGGAAGCUACAAUGAUUUUGGCAGUUACAACAAUCAGUCUUCAAAUUUUGGACCCAUGAAGGGAGGAAACUUUGGAGGCAGAAGCUCUGGCCCCUAUGGUGGUGGCGGCCAAUACUUUGCCAAACCACGAAACCAAGGUGGCUAUGGUGGUUCCAGUAGCAGCAGUAGCUAUAGCAGUGGCAGAAGAUUUUAAUUAGGAAACAAAGCUUAGCAGGAGAGGAGAGCCAGAGAGGUGACAGGGAAGCUACAGGUUACAACAGAUUUGUGAACUCAGCCAAGCACAGUGGUGGCAGGGCCUAGCUGCUACACAGAAGACAUGAUUUAGACAAAUACUCAUGUGUAUGGGCAAAAAACUCGAGGGCUGUAUUUGUGACUAAUUGUAUAACAGGUUAUUUUAGUUUCUGUUCUGUGGAAAGUGUAAAGCAUUCCAAGGAAGGGUUUUAAUGUAGAUUUU